rnacentral:rRNA from 1 species
UACAGAGGUCUCAAGCGUUGUUCGGAUUCAUUGGGCGUAAAGGGCGCGUAGGCGGUCCGACAAGUCAGGGGUGAAAUCCUGCAGCUUAACUGCAGAAGUGCCUCUGAUACUGUCGGUCUGGAGGGAGAUAGGGGUGUGCUGAACUUCCGGUGGAGCGGUGAAAUGUGUUGAUAUCGGAAGGAACGCCGGUGGCGAAAGCGGCACACUGGAUCUCAACUGACGCUGAGGCACGAAAGCCAGGGGAGCGAACGGG